rnacentral:tRNA from 1 species
GAGGGUAGAGCUCAGUGGUAGAGUGCAUGCUUAGCAGGCACAAGGUCCUGGGUUCAAUCCCCAUUAUCUCCA